rnacentral:rRNA from 1 species
UACGGGGGGGGUUAGUGUUAUUCAUCGUUACUGGGUGUAAAGCGCGCGUAGGCGGUUUAACAAGUUUUAAUUAGAACAAUCCAGACUUAAUUUGGAAACUAGUUUUCAUACUAUUAAACUAGAGGUUAAAGGAAGAAAGCUAUACUUCUCAGAAAAAGGUGAAAUUUGUCCGAACUGGGGAGGAUAAUCAGCAAGCGAAGGCGGCUUUCUAUUAUAAUGCUGACGCUUUGGCGCAAAAGCUUGGGGAUCAAACGGG